AGUCGAGCGAGCGGAACUAACAGAUUUACUUCGGUAAUGACGUUAGGAAAGCGAGCGGCGGAUGGGUGAGUAACACGUGGGGAACCUGCCCCAUAGUCUGGGAUACCACUUGGAAACAGGUGCUAAUACCGGAUAAGAAAGCAGAUCGCAUGAUCAGCUUUUAAAAGGCGGCGUAAGCUGUCGCUAUGGGAUGGCCCCGCGGUGCAUUGGCUAGUUGGUAAGGUAAAGGCUUACCAAGGCGAUGAUGCAUAGCCGAGUUGAGAGACUGAUCGGCCACAUUGGGACUGAGACACGGCCCAAACUCCUACGGGAGGCAGCAGUAGGGAAUCUUCCACAAUGGACGCAAGUCUGAUGGAGCAACGCCGCGUGAGUGAAGAAGGUUUUCGGAUCGUAAAGCUCUGUUGUUGGUGAAGAAGGAUAGAGGUAGUAACUGGCCUUUAUUUGACGGUAAUCAACCAGAAAGUCACGACUAACUACGUGCCAGCAGCCGCGGUAAUACGUAGGUGGCAAGCGUUGUCCGGAUUUAUUGGGCGUAAAGCGAGCGCAGGCGGAAGAAUAAGUCUGAUGUGAAAGCCCUCGGCUUAACCGAGGAACUGCAUCGGAAACUGUUUUUCUUGAGUGCAGAAGAGGAGAGUGGAACUCCAUGUGUAGCGGUGGAAUGCGUAGAUAUAUGGAAGAACACCAGUGGCGAAGGCGGCUCUCUGGUCUGCAACUGACGCUGAGGCUCGAAAGCAUGGGUAGUGAACAGGAUUAGAUACCCUGGUAGUCCAUGCCGUANACGAUGAGUGCUAAGUGUUGGGAGG
rnacentral:rRNA from 1 species